GGACAAACAGAGGCGGCACCUGUUACAGAGGCACAAGGAGGAGAUCUUCCAGACUGUAAUACUAUGGUGAACGGGUAUUUGCCAUAUCCAAAUGACUGUUCAUCCUUCAUACACUGUGCUAAUAGUAUCGCCUAUAAAAAAGAUUGUCCUGACGGAUUGCACUGGAACAGAAAUAAUCUUUACUGUGACUAUCCUGAAACUGCUGGAUGUUCAAGGAAAUAGAAAUUCAAUAUUUGUUUAGAGCAAAGCGCUUACGAAUCUGUCUCGGCCAUAGAAGUAGUCAUGCUUUUAUUUACAAACUAUUUUUGGGAUACAGUUAUGUAUGAAAUGAAUUUAUCAUAGUCUUUAAUGCGAUAUGUCACGGAACAUUCAAAUUAAAGCAUGAAGACAUUACGUUUGUUAGUGGCUAGAACGGUCAAAUGUUGUGCUUUUGUUUGAUAUAUACUGAAUACUUGUAUUUGUUUUUUUAGAAUCUAUAUGUAUCAUCUUGUUUAAACUUCAAAUGAUUAAUUGAGCAAAAUCGGUGAAUACUUUAACAUAAGAAAAAACGAUGUGAAAUCAAAUUAUCAGUUUUGGCAAUAUAAAACAAAUUUAGAACAAAGUCGGAACUUCAAUUGAUGACAAUCUAUAUUUGGAUUUGUUCUAACGUAGAUCACGGAGAGUCAUGAUUAGAAAUACAAUAAGGCAUUCGCAAAUAUUGAAUAUUUACCAAAAAACAUUCAAAAGUCUUUUUUUUUUUUUAUCUUUUAUUUGUUUUUCAAUAGUCAGGAUUUUACAAUACCCCUACAAUCACCACCUGACUAUGGUUCUUGGGGUAAACAUUGAAAGUUAUAUACAAGACUAUCCAUUU